UUAACUGAAACCAAAAAGAGGUAUAUUAUUGUUAAUAAUAAAAUUGAAUAAACAAUUCCUGUUAAG
rnacentral:tRNA from 2 species